rnacentral:rRNA from 1 species
UGAGGAAUAUUGGGCAAUGCCCGCAAGGGUGACCCAGCAACGCCGCGUGGAGGAUGAAUGUCGUAAGAUUGUAAACUCCUGUUAGAGGGGAAGAAUAACUAAGUUUGGAGCUUAGUAUGACUGUACCCUCAGAGAAAGCCCCGGCUAACUACGUGCCAGCAGCCGCGGUAAUACGUAGGGGGCAAGCGUUGUCCGGAUUUACUGGGUGUAAAGGGCGCGCAGGCGGAAUGGAAAGUCAGUGGUGAAAUCCUACAGCUUAACUGUAGAACUGCCUUUGAUACUUUCAUUCUUGAGUUCGGGAGAGAGAGACGGAAUUCCAGGUGUAGUGGUGAAAUACGUAGAUAUCUGGAAGAACACCAGUUGCGAAGGCGGUCUCUUGGUCCGAUACUGACGCUGAGGCGCGAAAGCGUGGGGAGCAAACA